AUACGUAGGGAGCGAGCGUUGUCCGGAAUUACUGGGUGUAAAGGGAGCGUAGGCGGGAGUGCAAGUCAGAUGUGAAAUACAUGGGCUCAACCCAUGGGCUGCAUUUGAAACUGUGGUUCUUGAGUGAAGUAGAGGCAAGCGGAAUUCCUGGUGUAGCGGUGAAAUGCGUAGAUAUCAGGAGGAACACCGGUGGCGAAGGCGGCUUGCUGGGCUUUUACUGACGCUGAGGCUCGAAAGCGUGGGUAGCAAACAGGAUUAGAUACCCUGGUAGUCCACGCUGUAAACGAUGAUUACUAGGUGUGGGGGGACUGACCCCUUCCGUGCCGCAGUUAACACAAUAAGUAAUCCACCUGGGGAGUACGGCCGCAAGGUUGAAACUCAAAUGAAUUGACGGGG
rnacentral:rRNA from 1 species